GACGAAGGGGCUAGCGUUGUUCGGAAUUACUGGGCGUAAAGCGCGUGUAGGCGGUUGUUCAAGUCAGGUGUGAAAGCCUUGAGCUCAACUCAAGAAAUGCACUUGAUACUGGAUGACUAGAGGACCGGAGAGGAUAGUGGAAUUCCCAGUGUAGUGGUGAAAUACGUAGAGAUUGGGAAGAACACCAGUGGCGAAGGCGGCUAUCUGGACGGUUCUGACGCUAAGACGCGAAAGC
rnacentral:rRNA from 1 species